rnacentral:tRNA from 1 species
GAGGGCAUAGCUCAGUUGGUUAGAGCGAUAGUUUGUGGCACUAUAGGUCGUGGGUUCGAACCCCAUUGCUCUCC